GGCAUCACGAGAAACACCCUGUCUCAUUUCUAAUAUUUGAAUUUCAUUUAGGUGUGCAAAAGCACCUUUAUUCUCAAAAGACGAUCAGACCCUAUGGAGCUUGUAAAAAUCUUUGGAAUAAUCAGAUGUUAAAACAAUUAUUUUGUUAAGAUUUUUUUCGUUGGGGCGACGGAGAGCUAAAAUAUAACCCUCUUUUUCACAAAUAACAAUAAUUAAAAUUUGAUCCUAGGAGAUAGAUUAAAAGACUAAGUUACCCUAGGGAUAACAGCGUAAUUUCCUUAGAGAGCCCAAAUCGAUAAGGAAGUUUGCGACCUCGAUGUUGGAUCAAAGUUUCUAUAAGGUGAAGCAGCUUUAUAAGAGGGUCUGUUCGACCUUUAAAUCUUUACGUGAUCUGAGU
rnacentral:rRNA from 1 species